rnacentral:rRNA from 1 species
CUACGGGAUGCUCCAGUGGGGAAUAUUGGACAAUGGGCGAAAGCCUGAUCCAGCCAUGCCGCGUGGAUGAAGAAGGCCCUAGGGUUGUAAAAUCCUUUCGGUGGUGAAGAUAAUGACGGUAACCACAGAAGAAGCCCCGGCUAAUUUCGUGCCAGCAGCCGCGGUAAUACGAAAGGGGCUAGCGUUGUUCGGAAUUACUGGGCGUAAAGCGCACGUAGGCGGCCUUGUAAGUUGGGGGUGAAAUCCCGGAGCUCAACUCCGGAACUGCCUUCAAAACUACAAAGCUAGAGGAUGUGAGGGGAUAGUGGAAUUCCGAGUGUAGAGGUGAAAUUCGUAGAUAUUCGGAAGAACACCGGUGGCGAAGGCGACUGUCUGGCACAUUUCUGACGCUGAGGUGCGAAAGCGUGGGGAGCAAACAGGAUUAGAUACCCUAGUAGUC